UCAAAACCGUGCUCUUGGUAGAAUAAAGAAUCCCUUAAAAUACAAACAAGAUGCUGAGCUCACCUAAUAACCUGGCCUCUACACCUGAGGAAAAAGCCCGAUCUUCAAGGCCUUCCAGAAGGCUAACAGGAUCAGCACCUGGCUGUUUCAAAGGCCCACUCCCAAUUCAUGGUGAAUUUGCAAGACAAGACAAAUCAUUGCAGAUGCAAAGUUGAUGCUACACCUUGUAUUAGUGAUGAAGUGGAUGCUCUUCCGUGGAA